UACGAAGGGGGCUAGCGUUGCUCGGAAUGACUGGGCGUAAAGGGCGCGUAGGCGGAUGGCACAGUCAGAUGUGAAAUUCCCGGGCUUAACCUGGGGGCUGCAUUUGAUACGUGUUGUCUUGAGUUCGGAAGAGGGUCGUGGAAUUCCCAGUGUAGAGGUGAAAUUCGUAGAUAUUGGGAAGAACACCGGUGGCGAAGGCGGCGACCUGGUCCGACACUGACGCUGAGGCGCGAAAGCGUGGGGAUCAAGCAGG
rnacentral:rRNA from 1 species